GACCAAUCACUGACUUGUAAUAAGGGUAUUUCUGUCUCUUCUCCAGGAAAAGGCUGCAUCUCUUGGGCUGACCUUGAAAGCAGAUGUAAUGUCCUCUGGCCCUCAGACAGCCUGAUGUUUUACUCUAAAGAUUCUGUGGUAUUAUGGCGACCGGAGUUUGACCUGCAGACAAUUUAAUAUCUCUUGGCAAAUGUGUUUUCAACAUUGUUGCAAUAAAAUACUCAAAA